UAGAAAGGCUGCGGGUGACUCAUCUGGUC
rnacentral:piRNA from 1 species